rnacentral:lncRNA from 1 species
GUGUCGGACUUGUCAACUAUGCUCUCGGCAAAGGGGUUGCUUGUUGCUACAUACCAAAUUAUUUUAAUAAUUCUACUGUCCAGCUAAUUACGAAAUGGCUUCAUCAAAGAUUUGAGCCCAGUUUCCAAACUCUAUCUUGACUAACUAUUGGUAUUAAAAAUGAUUGGUACAACUUACAGUUUAAGAAAGACAGUGGUUUUUGUCCAUAUGCAGGUAUAUUUAUUAUUGCUGUACUUGAUUCAUAAACCCAUUGAGCACAAGCACUCUCCCCUUGAUGAGACGUCUGGUAUUAGUGGGUACAAUGAAACUUAAUGGGUUAGCCAGACACAUGGGCGGAUUGUCUGAUUAUAUAAACUCUUUGAGCACUAGCUCUCCCCCCUCGACGAGUAAAAUUGUCUAUGUAUGCAUGGCAAUGUGCCACAAUGCACCUUACUUUAUUAUUUUACUCUGUUUAAUGCCAGACCAUUUUACUCGUCAAGGGGAGAGUGCUGCCAUUCAGUGUGUUAACCCAAUAAAACAAACAGAAUGUACUUUGGUUUUUACUACCCGUGCUAUAACUUUGAUAUACAUAUUUUUUGAACUGUGCUAUUUACAUGGAUUCGUUAAUUUGGCUACACUUAUAAUCAUAUUGUUAACGAACAAUUCUUAUUGUAAGGAGUUUCGUUUAAUUAAUGAAGGGCCAAUUAAGUUCUUUAAUUUUAUUUAACAAUUAGUCGGCGAGGUGAUUACAAGCCUAUAUUCACUGAGCCGAUGGCGAAGUGAAUAUGGGCCUGUAAUUACCGAGCCUGAGGCGACUAAUGGACAUUUGCAUUAUAGACUAAAUUUUGAUCUAAACAAGUCUAGACAAAAAUUUCAUCACAGAUUGAAAGAGCAUCACAAAAUUAGUAAUAUUCCAAAGUUUCGUUGCGAAAUGUUGUAAAUUGCAGAUAAUAUAGCCUUGCGUAGGCUUGGGCGGUUUUGCUUAAAAUCAAAACCGAAAAACCGUCUGAUUCUACACCGGUAAAACCGAAAAACCGGUUUUUUCCCUUUAAUUUGUAUUUCAACUGUAUAUGAGGAGGAAUUGUGGUAUUUUUCUGUCAUAAGCAAACGAACAGUACAUGACAAAACGCAAAAUUGUGCAAAGGUAACCUAAAACGACUUCAGUUUUAAAAUAAAAGGGUCAAGAACGCAUUUGAAAACUUAUACCUCUUCAGUUCUUACCGACUUUAUGGAAAAAGAAUAGAAUUUGUAUCUAGUGUCACGUAAUUGAGUUUAAUUGGUGUCAUGUUUUGAGAAUUAAGAUCGAGUUUCAGGCGAUGACAGUAAACAAUUACGUAAUGACGGUUUUCCGGUUUUUGUAAAAGCUAAACCGAAAAAACCGGUUUGAAAAUAAAACCGAAAAAACCGGUAAACCGCCCAAGCCUAGCCUUGCGAAGUUUGCCGUUUUUCAGUCAUUUUGUAUUUCGCGCGGG